AAAGCAUAAGACGCCAGAUGUGUCGCUAACUCCUCAAGUUUUGCAGAAUUUAUUUUAUUUUAUUUAUUUAUUUAUUUGUGCACUAUCAGCCAGUCUUCCAAAGAGCAAAUACUCCAUGAAAAAUAAAAACCUCAAUUACCCAAAAAGCCGCCAUUUCCAAACCUUCCAUACUCUGUCUCAGUUCAGGGUUCUUUAUGUUGCAGUGAGUGUCUAGAUGAUAUGAUGAGGUUUUAGAGAGGGAGAAGACGGAAAAUGAUCGGGAAAAUGGUGAAGUGGGUGAAAAGCGGCGGUCUCACCGGAGUUUACCGGCGAGAGAGAAUCUAAACCCUAAUUUGUUGAAUGAGGUGAAAGUUAGGGGCAUCGUAUUAACGUCUUGGUAUUUCAAAUUUGAGGAAUUGUUGUUACCUUAUUAGUUGUUUACGGCAGACGACAAGUAAGAGAAAGGAGUGUAAAAAUGGUGAUAGUUCCAUGUGUGUUUACACAUAGAAACUUGACAGGCAUAUUGGCAGUUUAUGUUAGGGGAUAUGAGGAAAUCAGGACACGAACUAUUUGCAAUCUCAAGGUCAUAUUUGGAUGAUUCAGCAAGUUCUACACCAAUUCUGCAGUUGCUAUUAAAAUGAAGUCAAGAGCUAAUGGGAUCCCUAGAGGUCAAAAGGCAAAAAACAUUCAGAUUGAGGGACCAAAUUGGAUUCUUAUUGCAGGAGGUGCCUUGUUAAGUACAUUGUCAAUUCGUCUGGGUUACAAGCUGAAGCAGAAUCUUGAUGCUAAGCAACAGACAAAUACUAGUAAUAGCCUGAAAGGGAAUGGGAAAUCAUCUGACAGAAGGAGGACAGAAGGCUGCCAUAUGCAUUCAAACAUGUAUUCCUAUACGCAAAAUGAUGAUGGUUGCUUCAACUGUAUGUCAGAUUUGAAGCACCAGCCCAGUGACCAAAUGAUGUCUGAAUCUGGUGCUGCUCUUCCUUUGGUGAUGGUUUCUGACCCAGAAUCUACCAAGAACAAUGGUGUUAUGUGGGUAUCCUCUCCUGAUCGUCUCGAGUUGCCUCCAAAGCCAUUCUACCAUUCAAAUUGCUCUGACUCACCAUGUAUCUCAGAAUCUGGUUCUGACAUCUUCAGCAAGCGAGAAGUGAUACAGAAGUUGAGGCAGCAAUUGAAGAGAAGAGAUGACAUGAUAAUGGAGAUGCAGGAUCAGAUUGUGGAGUUGCAGAAUUCACUCAAUGCUCAGCUGGUGCACUCUACGAGUUUGCAGUCGCAGCUUGAUACAGCUAACAGAGAUUUGUUUGAUUCUGAGAGAGAGAUUCAGAGGCUGAGGAAGGCAAUUGCUGAUCACUGUGUGAAAGAUGCAGCCACCAAUGAAAAGCCCUCAAUAGCCAAUAUAUGGCCAUCCGAGGUGAGAAAUGGUCAUGCGAAUGGAUAUCUGGGUGGAGACGGUGGCUUUGAGUUGUCAGAAAAGGGAAGGGGAGAUGGGGACAGGGUUGAGAUGCUGAAGAGGGAAGUAGGAGACUUAAAGGAAGUAAUAGAAGGAAAGGAGUACCUGUUGCAGAGCUACAAGGAGCAGAAGGCAGAGCUGUCCAUGAAGAUUAAAGAGUUGCAACAGAGACUUGAUUCUCAUCUCCUUAAUAUUUUGUAGGGAUUGCUAGCUUUAUGUGCAUUCUUGCUUGUUGUUUCUUGGUUCUUUUCUUUGAUUUCAGGUUCCAAAUAUGGGAGAAGCUUCUUUUUCUCAGUUCUUUCCUUAUAUCUUAGUUUGGAAUGUUUGACGGUUUCUAUGCUUGCUCAAAGUGUGCAUGUUGGAAAUUAGAGAGAGGGAGAGAAAGAGAGAGGGGCAAGCAAAAGCAAAAGCAAGCAUAAGGCAUAAAUCUGGCUUGUGGCCAAAACGAAACUUUUGCUCCAUGUAAUAACGCAACCUUCCCAUGAGGAAGGUCAGAAUGUCUCAGCUAAUCACGCAAUGGAGAUGACAUUAUGAAAUGGAGAAAAGGGGAUGUCCUUAUUGAUACCAAUGAUUUGGUGGCAGAGGAGGUGUCCACGACGGCUCCUAAGCCUUCUGGGCAUUAUGCGGUUUCUGAAUCAUUAUAUGAGACUCUGAUUGGCUUGAGGAGAUGUCAUCAUGUGGGGGAGAAGAAUUGGGUUGCGUUCUCUGUGGAUAAUGUAAUUGAAUAUGCAAAAUCUCUUCUUGGAUUGAUCUCAAAGCUACCAUUGUGUGCCAUUAUCUUUCUCUUUUUCCGCUCAUUGCUCUAUGUACCGUCUAUUCAUAUAUUGGUUGCAAAUCAAUAUCAAUUUGAGCUUUAAUC